GCUGCAGUUAGCGUCAGGAAAUGUUACAGCUGACAUCACAAAGUGAAGACAUACUGUGGAAGGGGACAGUAGACGGCAAACAAGGAAGCUCCGCCUACAGCGUACUGCGCUGUAUGCUAUUCAACUCUAAAUGUAAAAUCAAUUAAUUGUUGCAGAUUUAAUUAAACGUAAAUUAACUAAAUCAGCAACAGAAAACAUGUUGUAAAAACAAGUGUCAGCAGUUAUUUUCUCCACUCGGGGAGUUACAUCCAGCUCUGAUCAGGUGUUUGAAUGACUCUUUUAAUGACAAACUCUUUUUGUUUGACCUCUAAUGACUCACAGGGCCUUAAAUGAAACACUUGAGGCUCAUCAGGGAUACAUAACGCUUGAAAGAUCUGCAUCAUGGCUUUGAGAUAAAGUCACAUCGGCCUCACGUCCAACCCAAUCAGGACCAUCAUUGCCGUCAUCACCACUCAGGAGUCCAAUUUUUUGGGGCCGGUAUAAUUCCGUUGCAGCCGCGCCGGACCGCUGCAUUAUUAUGAUCUUUAUUAACUGUGUGUUCUUGUUUUUCUUUCUUUCUUCCCGCUGCAGCUCUUGUGUCUGCUUUGUGUCCUCCACAGCAAAAAAAAAAAAAAAGAAAAAAAAGCUAAUGUGCUGAAAGGCUGGUUCUUGUCUCCCUGAGCUUAUUGAAAUCAUGUGAAUGCCAUUUGCGCUUAAUCCUUCUGGGUGUGCCAUAAAGAGAAGAGAGUCGGCAGCUCCUGAAGAGGGAGAGGGAGAGAUGAGAGGACCUCAGGGGAUUCACUGUGCCUCGUCUGCUGAGAGAGAGAGGGGGAGAGAGAGAGAGAGAGAGAGGGGGAGAGAGAGCCUCAGACAACUGACAAACCAACCAAAAUACGUCUCAUAAUUUGAUUAGGUUACGAUGACACUCUUUAUUUAUAGUCGGCCUCAGAUGCAGGGGGGGGGGGGGGUGUGUUUAUUUUUCGUAGCGUCAGAUUCGUAGUAGCUGGUGGCUGCAGAAGCUGACGGCAGACGACAUGGGUGUCCGUCCGGGCCCCCCGGGCCCCCCCGGCUGCUCCGAGCGCACUGGUUUGUCUCAUUAGGUUCGCGGUGGCGCCUUUUAUUUAGCGCGGGUCGCCUGCUCCUAAACACCGCCGGAGCACCUUCCAUAUGCAUGAGAAUUACAUCAGAGGGAGGCGGCGUUGUCGAAGGCUUUUGAAAUAAUAAUGCGGCGAAUGAUAACGCCCCGGGACGCUACAACACCUCAUUACGGGACUCGGAGUCGCUCUUGUGAAGGAGAGAGCAGGAACGAACGGGAAGAACAUGGCGGCGCUUGAACAACACGGGGUAUUUAUACUCAUCCUUUUACAUCAAAUUGUUGCUUUCCCCCCCAACACAAAAAGCCUGAAACAGCAGCAGGGGGGGUGGGGGGGGCUGCAGUGAACCAAAACCAAUUGAGUUACAGCUUUAUUGUGUAAAGCCAGAGAAGGAGGUUUAGACUGUAUGAAUGAUAACCCAAUUUAUGGGACAUUAACGGCCCGGAUUGACAUGUGACAGGGGGAGAGUGGCGAAGAAAAGGGGGGGGGGGGACAGAUGGUUUGCCCCGUCUCUCAGCCUCACCCCCGCCGUAACAUGGUAUAUCUUGUCUUAUUGAUUGAAUUCCUGCCCCUCACACACACACAGGUCCUGGAGCUACAUGUGUCAGCGCUGCUACUCGCUGUCGGAAACCCAACACCGGAGCACAGGUUGUGUUGGCGGGGGGGCGGGGACGGGCCCCUUUAUGAUUGGUCACACAACCGGCCCCAUCUGUCAUCUCAAAGGGUCCUUUUCCUGUCGUCAGGGUCCCGCAGAAUACGGCCUCAUUAUCACUUACAAACAAGCGCGGGGUGAAUAAAACCAUCUCCCUAAAUCAGCAAAGAGGAAGGAGAUUCACUCUCCAGAAG
ensembl:lncRNA